rnacentral:rRNA from 1 species
GAUGAACGCUGACAGAAUGCUUAACACAUGCAAGUCGAUGGGGAAGUGGUGCUUGCACCAUGGUAACCAUGGCGGACGGGUGAGUAACGCGUAAGGAACUUGCCUGCGGGACUGGGAUAACAGCUGGAAACUGCUGAUAAUACCGGAUAAGGUCAUUAAGCUGCAUAGCUUAGUGAUGAAAGGAGACGCCUGCGGAGAGCCUUGCGUCCUAUUAGCUAGUUGGAGGGGUAACGGCCCACCAAGGCGAAGAUAGGUAGCCGGCCUGAGAGGGUGGACGGCCACAAGGGGACUGAGAUACGGCCCUUACUCCUACGGGAGGCAGCAGUGGGGAAUAUUGGACAAUGGGGGCAACCCUGAUCCAGCAAUUCUGUGUGCACGAAGACGGUUUUCGGAUUGUAAAGUGCUUUCAGCAGGGAAGAAGGAAGUGACGGUACCUGCAGAAGAAGCGACGGCUAAAUACGUG